ensembl:lncRNA
GGGAGGGGUCGGGGUGGUACCGGCAUCGGUCCGCGGAUGGUGGGCUGCAUCCAGGCGGGGUCCGGUGGCGGCACAGUCGCUUCAACGAAAAUGGCGUCGGGUGUCAGAGGCACCGUCAGCGCUCCUCGAGGGAUUCUCUCUGUGGGGAAAGGCCAAAGUAGGCGCUGGGGUGAGAUCUGGGGCGCUGGGGUGGGAUCUGGGGCACAGGGGUGAGAUCGGGCUUACAGGGGUGGGAUCUGGGGCUCUGGGGUGCUGGGGUGGGAUCUGGGUUACCAGGGGUGAGAUCGGGGGCGCUGGGGUGAGAUCUGGGUUACAGGGGUGAGAUCGGGGGCGCUGGGGUGAGAUCUGGGUUACAGGGGUGGGAUCUGGGGCUCUGGGGUGAGAUCUGGGGUGCUGGGGUGAGGUCUGGGUUACAGGGGUGAGAUCUGGGUUACAGGGGUGAGAUCUGGGGCGCUGGGGUGAGAUCUGGGGUGCUGGGGUGAGGUCUGGGUUACAGGGGUGAGAUCUGGGGCGCUGGGGUGAGAUCUGGGUUACAGGGGUGAGAUCUGGGGCGCUGGGGUGAGAUCUGGGGUGCUGGGGUGAGGUCUGGGUUACAGGGGUGAGAUCUGGGGCGCUGGGGUGAGAUCUGGGGCGCUGGGGUGAGAUCUGGGUUACAGGGGUGGGAUCUGGGGUGCUGGGGUGAGAUCUGGGUUACAGGAGUGGGAUCUGGGGUGCUGGGGUGAGGUCUGGGUUACAGGGGUGAGAU